rnacentral:rRNA from 1 species
UCAAAGAUUAAGCCAUGCAUGUCUAAGUAUAAGCAAUUUAUAUGUGUGAAACUGCGAAUGGCUCAUUAAAUCGGUUAUAAAGUAUUUGAUAGUGAAAGACUAUAUGGAUAGCCAUAGUAAUUCUAGAGCUAAUACAUGCGUAAAGGCCUGACUUUUAAGGGAAAGGCUGUGUUUAUUAGAUUGAAAACCAACGGCAGCUGUAAGUGGGGGCAACUCUUCUUAUGGUUGUAAAUUUUGGUGAGUCAUAAUAAAUGAGCGAAUCUUCGUUUUACGGAGAUGAAACAUUUCUAUUUCCGCUCUAUCAACUUUGGCGUUAAGGUAGUGGCUUAACGAAGUUUUGACGGAUAACGGAGAAUUAGGGUUCGAUUCCGGAGAGGGAGCCUGAGAAACGGCUACCACUUCUAAGGAAGGCAGCAGGCGCGAAAAUUACCCAAUCCCAAUUAUCUUGGGGAGGUAGUGACAAAAAAUAAUAAUGUAGGGAUUCGUCUCUGCAAUUGUAAUGGUCUGGACUCAAAACAUCCGGAGAGCAUCCAUUAGAGGGCAAGUCUGGUGCCAGCAGCCGCGGUAAUUCCAGCUCUAAUAGUGUAUACUAAAAUUGCUGCAGUUAAAAAGCUCGUAGUUGGAUUUUAGGCGGAGCUGUUUGUCAAUUUGGCUGGGGAUAUUUGUAUUGAUCUGAGGGGGGUUGUUCUUGAACUUAAAGACGACCUAAUAUUCCUUCAGUCAGGGUAUCCUUAAUUUUAAGUCAGUCAAUUUGAUUGUUUCGCCGGAAUUUUUUCGGGUUGAUUUUGUCCUCUUUAUUGAGCGGCAAGAUUGAUUCGGAGGGUUUACUUUGAAGAAAAUGGAGUGUUCAAAGCAGGCGUUUUUGCAGCUGAACACAUUAGCAUGGAAUAAUAAAACAAGACAUCGGCGGUUGUUUUCCUGUCGGCUAAGGUUCGUCUUUAAUUUGUUCUCAUUGUCUGAUUUUCAUUGUAUUUCCUACUUGUAGGAGUAUUUUGAAAGGAUUAUGAAAGGGGGCAAGUUAGGAUUUGAAAGGCCGGAUUUGGGGGCAAUCUACAGUAAUGUAUUCGUUUUGUUGGUUCAUGGAGUUGAUGUAAUGAUUAAUAGGAAUAGUCGGGGAUAUCCGUAUUGCAUUGUCAGAGGUGAAAUUCUUGGAUUUAUGCAAGACGAACUAGUGCGAAAGCAUUUAUCAAGGAUGUUUUCAUUAAUCAAGAACGAAAGUAAGGGGAUCGAAGACGAUCAGAAACCGUUGUAGUCCUUGCCAUAAACUAUACCGUCUAAGGAUCGGUGGUUGUCAUUUUUUAGGACUCCUCCGGCACUUUUAGAGAAAUCACAAGUCUCUGGGUUCUGGGGGGAGUAUGGUCGCAAGGCUGAAACUUAAAGAAAUUGACGGAAAGGGCACCACCAGGUGUGGAGCCUGCGGCUUAAUUUGACUCAACACGGGGAAACUUACCAGGUCCGGACGCGGGAAGGAUUGACAGAUUGAUAGCUCUUUCUUGAUUCCGUGGGUGGUGGUGCAUGGUCGUUCUUAGUUGGUGGAGUGAUUUGUCUGGUUAAUUCCGAUAACGAACGAGACCUCAACCUACUAAAUAGCCAGGCUUCAAGUUAAUUAAAUGGGGGAGGAGGUAGGAGGGCAACCUCUUAUUUUCUUUUCUGCUUGAGGCUAUAUAAAAUUAUGGUUUCUUCUUAGGGGGACUACCGUAUUUUUUUUAAACGGGGGAAGCAUGAGGCAAUAACAGGUCUGUGAUGCCCUUAGAUGUCCUGGACCGCACGCGCGCUACAAUGAUGCAGUCAGCGAGCUUGUCCUGUCCCGAAAGGGUUGGGUAAUCUUUUAAAACUGCAUCGUACUGGGGAUUGAUCUUUGUAAUUCUGGAUCAUGAACAAGGAAUACCUAGUAGGUACGGUUCAUCAGAUCGUGCCGAUUACGUCCCUGCCCUUUGUACACACCGCCCGUCGCUCCUACCGAUGAUUGUUCAGAUGAAAUGCUCGGAUUGUGCAGUUGUGGUCAUCUCGCGAUGGUCGCUUUUUGCUCUGGAGAAGAGCAGUGAAUCUUAACACUUAGA